UGGAUCUUAGUGGCGAACGGGUGAGUAACGCGUAGGCAAUCUGCCUUCUAGAUGGGGACAACAUCCCGAAAGGGGUGCUAAUACCGAAUGUUGUAAUUGGUUCGCAUGGACUAGCUACUAAAGGUGGCCUCUGAAUAUGCUACCGCUAGAAGAUGAGCCUGCGUCUGAUUAGCUAGUUGGAGGGGUAACGGCCCACCAAGGCUUCGAUCAGUAGCCGGUCUGAGAGGAUGAACGGCCACACUGGGACUGAGACACGGCCCAGACUCCUACGGGAGGCAGCAGUGGGGAAUCUUCCGCAAUGGACGAAAGUCUGACGGAGCAACGCCGCGUGAGUGAAGAAGGUUUUCGGAUCGUAAAGCUCUUUCGUUAGGGACGAACGUGCUCUUUGUGAAUAAUGAGGAGUAAUGACGGUACCUAAAUAAGAAGCCACGGCUAACUACGUGCCAGCAGCCGCGGUAAUACGUA
rnacentral:rRNA from 1 species